AUUGAACGCUGGCGGCAGGCCUAACACAUGCAAGUCGAGCGGAUGAAGGGAGCUUGCUCCUGGAUUCAGCGGCGGACGGGUGAGUAAUGCCUAGGAAUCUGCCUGGUAGUGGGGGAUAACGUCCGGAAACGGGCGCUAAUACCGCAUACGUCCUGAUGUAGAAAGUGGGGGAUCUUCGGACCUCACGCUAUCAGAUGAGCCUAGGUCGGAUUAGCUAGUUGGUGGGGUAAAGGCCUACCAAGGCGACGAUCCGUAACUGGUCUGAGAGGAUGAUCAGUCACACUGGAACUGAGACACGGUCCAGACUCCUACGGGAGGCAGCAGUGGGGAAUAUUGGACAAUGGGCGAAAGCCUGAUGCAGCCAUGCCGCGUGUGUGAAGAAGGUCUUCGGAUUGUAAAGCACUUUAAGUUGGGAGGAAGGGAAGUAAGUUAAUACCUUGCUGUUUUGACGUUACCAACAGAAUAAGCACCGGCUAACUUCGUG
rnacentral:rRNA from 1 species